GAUGAACGCUAGCGGCAGGCUUAACACAUGCAAGUCGAGGGGUAGAGGAAGCUUGCUUCCUUGAGACCGGCGCACGGGUGCGUAACGCGUAUGCAAUCUACCUUAUACAGGGGGAUAGCCCAGAGAAAUUUGGAUUAAUACCCCAUAGUAUAAUUGAAUGGCAUCAUUUAAUUAUUAAAAGUUCCAACGGUAUAAGAUGAGCAUGCGUCCCAUUAGCUAGUUGGUGUGGUAACGGCACACCAAGGCGACGAUGGGUAGGGGUCCUGAGAGGGAGAUCCCCCACACUGGUACUGAGACACGGACCAGACUCCUACGGGAGGCAGCAGUGAGGAAUAUUGGUCAAUGGGCGCAAGCCUGAACCAGCCAUGCCGCGUGCAGGAUGACGGUCCUAUGGAUUGUAAACUGCUUUUGUACAGGAAGAAACACUCCCUCGUGAGGGAGCUUGACGGUACUGUAAGAAUAAGGAUCGGCUAACUCCGUGCCAGCAGCCGCGGUAAU
rnacentral:rRNA from 1 species